rnacentral:rRNA from 1 species
AUUGAACGCUGGCGGCAUGCCUUACACAUGCAAGUCGAACGGCAGCACGGGUGCUUGCACCUGGUGGCGAGUGGCGAACGGGUGAGUAAUACAUCGGCACGUACCUUAUCGUGGGGGAUAACGCAGCGAAAGCUGUGCUAAUACCGCAUACGCCCUGAGGGGGAAGGCGGGGGAUCGAAAGACCUCGCGCGAUUAGAGCGGCCGAUGCCUGAUUAGCUUGUUGGUGGGGUAAAAGCCCACCAAGGCGACGAUCAGUAGCUGGUCUGAGAGGACGAUCAGCCACACUGGGACUGAGACACGGCCCAGACUCCUACGGGAGGCAGCAGUGGGGAAUUUUGGACAAUGGGGGCAACCCUGAUCCAGCAAUGCCGCGUGAGUGAAGAAGGCCUUCGGGUUGUAAAGCUCUUUUGUCAGGGAAGAAACACCGGCUCUAACACAGUCCGGGAAUGACGGUACCUGAAGAAUAAGCACCGGCUAACUACGUGCCAGCCGCCGCAGUAA